CUCCAUGGCCUCUAUGU
rnacentral:misc_RNA from 1 species